rnacentral:pre_miRNA from 1 species
UCAUUUGGAUGAGCAAAGAAAGUGGUUUCUUGAGAUGGACUCCACUUCUGGUGAAAAAUGCUGUGAA